ACUACGGGAGGCAGCAGUGAGGAAUAUUGGUCAAUGGACGCGAGUCUGAACCAGCCAAGUAGCGUGAAGGAUGACUGCCCUAUGGGUUGUAAACUUCUUUUAUAUGGGAAUAAAACAGGGUAUGCAUACCCUCUUGUAUGUACCAUAUGAAUAAGGAUCGGCUAACUCCGUGCCAGCAGCCGCGGUAAUACGGGGGAUCCGAGCGUUACUCGGAUUUAUGGGGUUUAAAGGGAGCGUAGGUGGAUAGUUAAGUCAGUUGUGAAAUUUUGCGGCUCAACCGUAAAAUUGCAGUUGAGACUGGCAGUCUAGAGUACAGUAGAGGUGGGCGGAAUGCGUGGUGUAGCGGUGAAAUGCUUAGAUGUCACGAAGAACUCCGAUGGCGAAGGCAGCUCACUGGACUGCAACUGACACUGAUGCUCGAAAGUGUGGGGAUCAAACAGGAUUAGAUACCCUUGUAGUC
rnacentral:rRNA from 1 species